UUACUACUCCCUCCGUCCGGAAAUACUUGUCAUCAAAAUGAAUAAAACAGGAUGUAUCUAGAUGUAUUUUAGUUCUAGAUACAUCAUUUUUUAUCCAUUUUGAUAACAAGUAUUUUCGGACGGAGGGAGUAGUUA
rfam:Triticum aestivum genome assembly, contig: Triticum_aestivum_CS42_TGACv1_scaffold_049706_1BS